rnacentral:lncRNA from 1 species
UGGACUCAAUAUAGAUCGAAUCUCAAAGUAUCAAAUCUUAACAAUCUUCACCUCGACUCAACAUUCGGUCUCCUUCUUUUGAGAGCUUCUAGAUCUCCUCGCCCCCAUAUCCUAGGACAAUCGUCCGCUGAUCAUGGAUGGACAAAUAUGGGAGUCAAGCCAGACUGCUCGAUCCCAUCUCCAUUGUAUGCUGUGCUCCUCCUGAUCUGAGACCUACUCGGGAUAUGAUCCUGCAGUAAUAGGAAUCUCACCUUGCGAUAUCACCUCUCAUCCUCCUGAGUCUCGCGUCUCGUGUCCAAUCUACUCUACCUAGAGCUCCACCUCGCUCUGGACUCCUCCUGGCUUUCGAAGCUUCACCUCGUAUUGGACUCUCCAUCAAGUAAUAAUAUCCUUUCGUCUUCUUCUUCUCCUUCAAAAUAAUCCUAUCGCUGCGUAGAACCUUCAGAAUUUCUCCAUCAGCUACCGUUCUAUAGCCUCUCGAAUCCAGUCUGCUCAGUGAGAUAAGAUUCUGUCUGAAAUCGGAUAUAUAGCGGACCUCUUCCAAUCUUCUCACUGUACCAUUAUGUGUCCUCCAACUGACCAUCUCGAUGCCUCUAAUCGCAUAGCUCGAUCCAUCCAGCAGAUAAAUAGUAUCCUCACUAUUCUUCAGAGAGUUAAACUGCUUCUCUCUACAACAUACAUGAUAGAUGCAUGUAGAAUCUAAAAUUUACUACUGAAAAGAAGUAGAUAUCUCGUCAUAUAUCUCCAGGAUAUCUUCCUCUAAAUUGUUACUGGUCGUCGCUGCAGUAGCCCUCAUCCAAUCCCUGAGUUGAGAGCAAUCUCUGGCUAGAUACUUCAAUUCGUCAUAUCGAUAAUAUCUGAUCUUGCUUAAGUCUCUCAUUUUGAACUUGGACCGCCCUUAUCGCGAUCUCCUAUUGCUCUAUCUACCACCUCCUGCUCAUCUAGAAACCACAAAAGCUGAGCUGCCACCACCUGAGCUCGAAGCUGGAUUCUCCCUUCUAAGAACCUCAUUCUGGAGAAUCAUCAUGGUGAUUUCAUCCAUCUUGAUAGUGCUCUUUUUCACUAGAAGAGUAGUUAUCAAGGACUCAUACGAAGGAGAGAGCGAUGC